CGGCGGCUGCGCGAUGACGCAGCGCGCGGGUGUACGAGCCGGCGCCAUGUGUCUCCAGCAGCGGCCAACUUCAGGGGGCCGCGAACAUCCGAGGCCAUCCGAGGCCGCCGGUGUAUGCAGGCGGCCAACGCUCCCGACUGAAGCGGGAUGAGGUCCGGCCGGGGUGCGGGCUGGCUGCGAGGGGAUGGGGUCGCGCGGCUGCCGAGCGCGGCGUGGGCGGACCGCUGUCCCCUCUCGCGGGGGUGCCCGGCCCCCGGCUGUCGCGGGAGGCCCUUGAACCCGCCCGGCCUGCGGCUGCAGAGUGCAAGCGGAGCGGCGGCCUCCACGCCGAGAGGACUGCGGGGAGAGGCCGCUCUGGGUGCAGACACUGAACACCGCAACCUGCCGGCGGCACUGGGAAGCCAGUCCCUGAGGCUCCUGGGUCUGUGGUCCUGGGAGCAGGGCGCUGGCUGAACCCCAGCCCUCUUCUCAAGGAUGCUGGAGCAGCAGACGGCCUCAGGGUGGACCAGCAGGCUCUGCUCUGGGUCCCUGUGCCAGCACAGGACACGUGGCGUCUGCUUUUCCCCACUGCUCCAGCGACUGGAGUGCCCAGGUCCCAGUGGAGAGUGCCAGGAGGUGGCCUGGUCCGUGUCGGCGGAGCUGAUCUGGGAUCUGCGGCAGUAAGUAUGCUCUGGACACCUGUGUCCGUUCAUUUCCACAAGCCCGUCCCAUCUCCUGAGUCAGGCGAUUGAGGCCCAGAAGGGUUCACUGGCUUCAAGCUCACGGGACUGGUUUUGGCCAGCGGUGGUCUCGUAUCUGGACUCCUGCAGCCGCGGUUCUGUGGUGCAGCCAACCUGCCACCGUUUCCCUGGGACCCUGCUGGGUCAGUGGGGUAUUGGCCUGGGAAGGUCAGGCUGCUGCCAUGUGCCAUCACAGAGACUCCGCCCACUGUGGGGUCAGGAG